ensembl:snoRNA SNORA73 Small nucleolar RNA SNORA73 family
CCAGUGUGGAUAUCCUGGGAGUUCACUCCCUCCAGGCUCUGUUCAACAGGCAUAAGGGACCAUAGGGCCCUGCCCCUUGAGGUACAAUCCCUUUCCACAACGUGGGAGAUGAUGCUGAGUCUGCGUCUGUGUAUUCCUACAGCUUCUCAGAGUUCUGUGGACAAUGACUAGGGAGACAAACCAUGCAGGAAACAUGU